GAUGAACGCUGGCGGUAUGCUUUACACAUGCAAGUCGUACGAGAGUUUUGAACUCAAGUGGCGGACGGGUGAGUAACACGUAAGAAUUUGCCUUUAGGAGGGGGACAACAACUGGAAACGGUUGCUAAUACCCCAUAUGCUUUCGAGUGAAACGGUUUUUCCGCCUAAAGAGAAGCUUGCGGCUGAUUAGCUUGUUGGUAAGGUAAUGGCUUACCAAGGCGACGAUCAGUAUCUGGUUUGAGAGGACGAUCAGACACACUGGAACUGAGACACGGUCCAGACUCCUACGGGAGGCAGCAGUGGGGAAUUUUCCGCAAUGGGCGAAAGCCUGACGGAGCAAUACCGCGUGAGGGAUGAAUGCCUAUGGGUUGUAAACCUCUUUUUUCAGGGAGGAAUCAAUGACGUUACCUGAAGAAUAAGCAUCGGCUAACUCCGUG
rnacentral:rRNA from 1 species